UCAAGAUUCAACACCUGGUUCUGCAACCCAAUCAACCUCAAAUUCAGAUCCAGAAUCUAGUAACCCAGUAACUCAACAAUCAGAUGAAGUAUCCAUAGAUGUGACCGUUGGAUCAGUCUCGACAGAAAGCCAAGCUUCGCAAACAUCUUCACAAUCAUCUAGCAAUGUAUCCAUAUCAGUUUCAACUUCAUCUGAAGGUAAUGAACCAACAACCCAGGCAACUUCUAGUACAUCUGAUGGUAACACAGUUGUCGUAAUAGUGACCACAAAUGAUAACGAGUCUGGCUCAUCUGGUACUCCAUCACAAACUUCAAGUCAGCAAACUAACUCUGGUUCUGCAGCUAUUAAUCAAGCAUCUCAAGAAAAUCGCCCAACUGUUGCUCCAACAAUUGAUUUUAUUUCAGAAGGCCCAAGCACUCAAUCAUCUGCCAGUUCAUCUUAUGAAGAUACCACCGUUGGAUCAUCAGAAGUUGUAGAUCAGUCUACUUCCCAAACAUCCAGUCAAAAUGCAACACCUAGCUCUUCAGUCGAAUCUGGUUCAAUCCGAAAUUCAGAUUCAGAUUCACAGUCUUAUAGCCCAGUUACAGAACAGUCAGGUGAAGUAUCAAUAGAUGUGACCGUUGGAUCAGUCGACUCAGUUUCAACUGAAACUAGUAACCAAGCUACCCAAACAUCACAAUCGUCCAGCAAUGUAUCAGUUUCAGUUUCAACUACAUCUGAAGGUAAUGAACCUACAACUCAGGCAACUUCUAGUACCUCUGAUGGUAAGCCAGUUGUUGUAAUAAUAGCUUCAAAUGAUAAUGACUCUGUUUCUUCUGGU
rnacentral:lncRNA from 1 species